UACGUAGGGUGCAAGCGUUGUCCGGAAUUAUUGGGCGUAAAGAGCUCGUAGGCGGUUUGUUGCGUCGGCUGUGAAAUCCCGAGGCUCAACCUCGGGUCUGCAGUCGAUACGAGCAAACUAGAGUGUUGCAGGGGAGACUGGAAUUCCUGGUGUAGCGGUGAAAUGCGCAGAUAUCAGGAGGAACACCAGUGGCGAAGGCGGGUCUCUGGGCCGUAACUGACGCCGAGGAGCGAAAGCGUGGGGAGCGAACAGG
rnacentral:rRNA from 1 species